UACGUAGGGUGCGAGCGUUGUCCGGAAUUAUUGGGCGUAAAGAGCUCGUAGGUGGCGGGUCACGUCGGGUGUGAAAGCCCGGGGCUUAACUCCGGGUCUGCAUUCGAUACGGGUCUGCUGGGGUCCGGCAGGGGAGACUGGAAUUCCUGGUGUAGCGGUGAAAUGCGUAGAGAUCCGGAAGAACACCGGUGGCGAAGGCGGCCCGCUGGGCAACUGCUGACACUGAGGCGCGACAGCGUGGGGAGCAAACAGG
rnacentral:rRNA from 1 species